AAAUGAACGCUACAACCUUGUGAGACUUGAGCCUAAACGUUUAUUUGGAGAGUUAAUAAUUUGUGCAUCAUUGUUUUCUAAAGUCAUUGCAUGAUCUCAUUAUUCUUUGCUUGGUUGCUACUUAGAAGGCGUUUCAUCAUUUAGUUCCAAAUGCUAGAACUUAUGCCUAUUUCAUUCAAAGCAUGCUAUUGAUUUGCAUAACACAUAUUCAAGAUGAAGUUGUGUAGUGACCACCAAAGCCAAAUUGUCAUGCCUCUAUUUCAUUAUGUGUUUAAGUUUAACCCCGUUGAGCUUUGUUAAGCCUAUGUUCUUUGUUAACCCACACUAUCCUUACCUAGCCUAGUGUUAGGAUCAUCCAUACCCUUGUUCUUGAAGCAUAGUAAAGCAUGACUUAAAAUGAACUCAUUUUUUAUCAAUGUAUUGCAGAAAGCAAGUGUGGGGGAAGUGAUUCUUGUGUGUGUGUGUGUGCCAAAGUCCUUAAUAAGGCACGGGUAGAAAAGAAAAAAAAAAUUGAAAAAAAAAGUAUGAAAAAGAGCUCUAAAGUGUUGCUUGUUAAAGAAAGGGUUCAAAACAUUGAAUUCGGCCCUAAGUGUUGCAUAAAUCUCCCCUUUGUAAUU
rnacentral:lncRNA from 1 species